rnacentral:rRNA from 1 species
CCUACGCGCGGCAGCAGUGGGGAAUAUUGCACAAUGGGCGCAAGCCUGAUGCAGCCAUGCCGCGUGUGUGAAGAAGGCCUUCGGGUUGUAAAGCACUUUCAGCGGGGAGGAAGGCGUUAAGGUUAAUAACCUUGGCGAUUGACGUUACCCGCAGAAGAAGCACCGGCUAACUCCGUGCCAGCAGCCGCGGUAAUACGGAGGGGUGCAAGCGUUAAUCGGAAUUACUGGGCGUAAAGCGCACGCAGGUGGUCUGUCAAGUCGGAUGUGAAAUCCCCGGGCUCAACCUGGGAACUGCAUUCGAAACUGGCAGGCUAGAGUCUUGUAGAGGGGGGUAGAAUUCCAGGUGUAGCGGUGAAAUGCGUAGAGAUCUGGAGGAAUACCGGUGGCGAAGGCGGCCCCCUGGACAAAGACUGACGCUCAGGUGCGAAAGCGUGGGGAGCAAACAGGAUUAGAUACCCCUGUAGUC